UCCUGAACCCAGUGGAGGGAGGCAGAUGAGAAGCAUCUGUCAUCAUCAGUCACAGAACCCAUGCAUGUGUCAGUAGGCAGGUCUUCCAUGCCCAGGCUCUGUCUCACACACUGGGGCAGAGCCCAAGACCAGGAUAAAAGGGCCACAGGAGCAGAGCACCUCCAUCUACUCAUCUCCUGAGGUGCUCACAGACCCUGCACUGCCUGGGACCUUGCUCCUGAACACACACCUGCCAAGAUGUCCUGCCAGCAGAGCCAGCAGCAAUGCCAACCCCCUCCCAAGUGUACCCCCAAGUGCCCUCAGAAGUGCCCUGCCCCAAAGUGUCCACCAAAGUGUCCCCCUAAGUGCCCUCCAGCCCCUUCCUGCUGCAGUGUCAGCUCUGGAGGCUGCUGUGGCUCCAGCUCUGGAGGUGGCUGUGGCUCCAGCUCUGGGGGCUGCUGUGGCUCCAGCUCUGGGGGUGGUGGCUGCUGCCUGAGCCACCACAGGCCCCACAGGUCCCACCGCCACAGACAGAGCUCUGGCUGCUGCAGCCAGCCCUCAGGGGGCUCCAGCUGCUGUGGAGGGGGCAGCAGCCAGCAAUCUGGAGGCUGCUGCUGAAGUGCCCUUGACUUCCUCUCUCUUCUGAGGCUGCAGGAGUGACUGAGAGGUUUAUGUGAAAGUUUGAGCUCUUGUCUGGAGCAUCUUUCUACCCUGGUGUGCAGAAGUCAAAAUGUUUCUCCUACAAUGCAUCAGAGACCUCCUUCCCUAUUUCCACGGUGCUCUGGCAACUUAAUCCACUAAUCUAAUUCUGGCACAGAUUCUGUCAUUGUAUUCUCUUGCAUAAACUUAAAUGAUAAACUCUGGAAUCUGCUCUCCA